rnacentral:tRNA from 1 species
GCGGAUGUGGCGGAAUUGGCAGACGCGCCAGACUUAGGAUCUGGUGGGCAACCGUGCAGGUUCAAGUCCUGUCAUCCGCA